GGGGUUCUUCGAUAUGCUGAAUCUAACCAUGUAUUUAGAUUUAUGAUAUUUGGGCCUUGUUAUCAAAUUGGUCCGCAGUGAGGUCUAAAGGGUCCAAAAUUGAACUUUAUUUGAUUUCAUCAAAAAUUGAAUUCUUGGGGUUCUUUGACAUGCUGAAUCUAACCACGUAUUUAGAUUUUGGAUAUUGGAAUACCACAAAGGGAUGGUAAGAAGUGUCUUUGGGAGUUAUGGCUCAAACCGUUAAGGAAUAAGGUGCAAAAAAGGAUGGAAAAGGGUUUCCAGGUUAAUGGACAAUUACUUAAGUACAAAACAUAAUUUAAAAGCAGUGUAAGGUUGAAAAU
rnacentral:lncRNA from 1 species